rnacentral:lncRNA from 1 species
UGACUGGCCUCAGGUUCCUAGAUCUGUCUAAGAACAAUCUCUCAGGUCCGAUACCUGAAUAUUUAGCGAAGUUUUCUAAGCUGCAGAAUCUGAAUCUCUCUAUGAACAACUUCGAAGGAGCUGUGCCAACAGAAGGGAUAUUUCGUAAUGCCAGUGCAGUGUCAGUCACUGGUAACAUAAACCUCUGUGGAGGCAUAGCGUCAUUACAGCUUGAGCCAUGUUCUGUUGAAUUACCAGGACGGCAUUCAUCAGUUAGAAAGAUUAUCGCUAUCUGUGUCAGUGCAGGUAUGGUAGCACUUCUGUUAAUUCUUUCUGUGGUUUCUAUAUAUUGGUUCAAACAGAGAAAAAGUGUAAGGGAUAAAGAUAAUGAGAAUGGUCGGUCUUUCUCUCCCUUGAAGUUUUUCUAUAAUGAAAAGAUAAGUUAUCGUGAGCUCUACAAGACAACUGAUGGCUUCUCUUCCAGCAAUUUGAUUGGGUCAGGUAACUUUGGGGCUGUGUUUAAGGGAUUUCUUUUGUCCAAGAAGAAGGCUGUUGCCAUUAAAGUUUUGAAUCUCUGCAAACGUGGAGCUGCAAAGAGCUUCGUGGCAGAAUGUGAAGCAUUAAGAGGCAUAAGGCAUCGCAACCUUGUGAAGUUGGUUACUGUCUGUUCGAGUGUGGAUUUUGAAGGAAAUGAUUUUAGAGCUCUAGUUUACGAGUUCAUGCCUAACGGAAACUUAGACAUGUGGCUGCACCGAGAUGAGGUAGAUGAAAUGGACAACCGGUCAAGAACCCUGACCCUUUUUGAAAGACUCAACAUUGCAAUAGAUGUUGCUUCGGCUCUGGUUUAUCUUCAUACUUAUUGUCACAAUCCUAUAGCCCACUGUGAUCUUAAGCCAAGCAAUAUUCUUCUAGACGAAGAUUUCACUGCUCGUGUAAGUGACUUUGGUUUGGCUCGACUCCUCCUGAAAUUCGACCGGGAAUCAUUUCAUAUUCAGUUCAGCUCUGCGGGUGUUCGUGGAACCAUCGGAUAUGCUGCACCAGGUAUGGUAAUCUUAUAUGAAACCGUUACCAAAUAUUUAUAUACGCAUAAAGAAGACAAUAUACUAUCAUUUGAUCUCAUUGUCUUUAUUAUUGUAUUUUGUAGAAUACGGAAUGGGAGGUCAUCCAUCGAUAGUGGGAGAUGUGUACAGCUUUGGAAUCCUCCUGUUGGAAAUUUUCACAGGAAAAAGGCCCACUGAUAAGUUAUUCGUGGAUGGUUUAACUCUCCAUGGAUUUACUAAAUCAGCAUUGCAGGAACAAAUGCCACUAGAUAUCACAGACGAGUCUAUUCUCUGUGGUGCAGAAAAUCAGGUUCUCGGGGUCGAAAAGGUGGAAUGCUUGACCCAGCUUGUGUAUCAGGUGGGAAUCAGGUGUUCAGAAGAAUCACCGGUGAACCGUAUAUCGAUGGCUGAGGCCUUAAGCAAGCUAGUCUCUGUCAGAGACACGUUUUUUGAAGACGAGAAAACCCUUUAGAUGACAAAGAAUCUAUCUUUUUACAGUAAGAGAUUGGGUAUAGGUACGCAUAUACAGUCAUUAAUUGAUCUUAAACAAUACUUUAGAAACGCGCGCACACACACACACACAUGUAUAUACAUCAAUAAUAUGGGGAGCAUGUAAUAUUUGUUCAAUACACAGGUCUCUGUUUGUAUGAAUUUGCGAGUGAUCUUGUGAAUAUUUUGUAUCUUUGAAUAUUGUACCGUUUUCCUGAUUUUGAGACUACAUUAGCAACGUCUAAAUUCGUAAAAUAAUAUAAUAAUAAUCUUCACGUAUGAUGAAUAUCUAUUUUACUUUUAGAACUACAAAUGUUGUGCAUCUAUUUCCCUCUCCAGCUUUCAUAAUGGAAGUAGAUUGAGUCUGCAUCUCUAACAUCUCUCUCAUCAUCACAUACCUGGAUAUAUGGUUAGAAAAGACAGCGAACAUUUAGGCAUUCCACAUCCUAGGAACUGUUGCUUUUGAAGUUCUACUAUUUCGGAUACAUGGAGCUGCCAGAUGCUUAUGUCAAAAUGUGAAGCCUGCAUAUGGCAUAGAAACCUUUGUAUAAACCAAACUAUUUGUUGUGUAAUGCCAUUUUGGUUUCAAACCAAACUAGAAGAAAUUUGGUUAAGGUGAGUUGUUGAAACAGUAAACGACAAUGAGUGAGACUUAAGUCAUGUAUAAGAGUCUAGAUUAGUUGGUGAUGAAUAGUUGUAGUUGUUGAGGUCAGAGUAUGAUGACUCUGUUUUCUUGAUAUAUGUCGAUGUAAGGACAAGAGAAUGUGUAAGUUUUUUGACCAAGAAAAUGAAAUGAAAGAAACAAUGUUUCAAGGUUCUCUCUUUCUCUUUUACAAGUAUCAUUUCCAAACACAAAAUACAGCUCAAUCCACAAGAAAUGUCUAUUUGAAACAAGAAUAACAACACUAUUUUUUGGGGUUUAACUUCAGAGGUCUAGCAAAUGAGUUUAUGUCUAUCUUCAUAACAACUGUUUUACCAAUAAGCUCAUGGUGAUCUCUAACCAAACGAUAUUCUGUUGAUGGUGUGAUCUCGCCCCUCAAACCAAUGCUUUUAAUAAUGGCUCAACUUCACGAAGAAUUUAUUCUCUCUUUUGUUUACAAGAUCCAUUCAUCUACUUUCUUUGGUUCAUAAAUAUGAAACUGCAGUUGUAAUAGCUCUAAUUAGUUUCAUUAUCGUUUUAAGGAACUCUAUUGCUAGGUGCUUGAAGAUCAUAUAGACCAACUGAUGUUUUGCAGAUGCUCUUCUUAGAUGAGAAGAGACCACUCGCUGAUGAGAAAUUGCAAAUGAAGCUUUGCAAUAUAUUAUCACCGCCCCUUUCUGUUGAUUGGUUGCUUUCAGUCACAAGUUUUGGUUCCUUAAAGUAAUAUCUCGAAUGAAGAUUGCUUGUUUUUUUUUUCAUUUCCUUUUCAAUGACAGAGACUAGCUCAGGCUUGAAGGAGAUCAUGGACUGCAGAUUGGCUGCAUCUCUAUUUGUGAAACAACAAGCGUACCUUUAUUGGUCUGCAAUGUAAGCUUUUUGAUUUCAGUUUGGAACAAAGGCAUGGCAUUGUGUGGCUAUAUGAAGAAUGAGAGCCACAAGAUAUGUUUCUGAUAGGAGGGAACAGAAAUAUCAGGACCGCUUGAUGAUUCGUUUGACCAGCAAUCUAGAACACAAGAUGCAACGCUUGGUGCUUCUGUCCAAAGCAAAUCAAAGAGGUAUACUGCAUUUUCUUUUGAUGUUUUAAUUCAAUCAUGUAGACUAUUUGUAUUAUUGAAAAAAAUCUUUGAAAAAUAUUGAACAAAGGUUAUUUGUAUAAGUUACUGGAUUAUAUAAGGGAUCUUCUGCUAGGUAUGGUAAAGAGUGAAGACUUGUCAUUUUUUUUUUUUUUGAACCUUAAAGACUUGUCUAAUUUAAAACUAAUUUUAUGGUAUUGUUUUGAUAGUAGUGUGCUUGAAAAAAAUGUAGAAGCAAUUUGGUGUAAUUUGAAACCGUUGAUGUCAUGGUCACUUCUAAGGAUUUUAACAAACAUUCCAUGGCUAUUUUUUAAUAGUGAUGGAAGAAGUUUUUAAAGUAAUUGAAUUUGAAUAAUCUCUAGUUAGUUAUAUUAUGUGAUAAUGCUUGACAGUUGACUUGGGAAAGCAGUAGUCAAUGAGGACUGAUACUCUGUUACGAAGUCUCUUAGUUUUGGAAUUUACUUACUCUAUUUGUCCAGUUCUUGUAAGCUUGUAUGCACAAAAUAUUGAAUAUUCAGAGGCGAAAGAUCUCUGUUUGCUCAAAUAUAUAUAAACUGUCAUCGUGGUUGUGAAAGAAAGAGGAAUUAUCUCUGGUGUGUUUAAGAAAAAAAGGAAAAACAAAAAAAAGAGAAAAGAAAAAAAAGCUUUUUGCUCUCCAUGGCUUUGCCUUUUGUUGCCGUGAGAUUGAUUCUGGUAUCUGUUUUCCUCUUCAUCGUGUCCCUUGAAAAUUCAGAUGUGGUCUGUGCUCAAACAAUGAGAUUGACGGAGGAGACAGAUAAACAAGCAUUGCUCGAGUUCAAGUCUCAACUCUCUGAAACAAGUAGAGCUGUGUUAGACUCGUGGAACAACACUCUGCCUCUCUGUAGGUGGACUGGAGUUAAGUGCGGCGCCAAACACAAAAGAGUGACCGGUUUGAACCUUGGAGGGCUGAAACUUACCGGUAUUGUCUCUUCCUUUGUGGGUAACCUCUCAUUUCUUAGAUCAUUGAAUCUUUCUAGCAACUAUUUCCGUGGUGCCAUCCCUUUAGAGGUUGGAAACUUGUCCAGGCUUCGAUAUUUGAACAUGAGCGAUAAUCUUCUUGGAGGGGCGAUUCCGGUUGUUCUCUCUAAUUGCUCUAGCCUUUCAAUCCUUGAUUUAUCAAGAAAUGAUCUUGAACAAGGCGUGCCUUCUGAGUUGGGUUUGCUUUCUAAGCUUGUCAUUCUAUCUUUUAUAAAAAACAAUCUAACAGGGAAGUUCCCUGCUUUGUUUGGAAACCUGACAUCACUCAAGAAGCUCGACUUUUAUGAUAACCAAAUGGAAGGAGAGAUCCCUGGGAGUAUAGCCCGACUGAAGCAGAUGUACUUUUUCCGAAUAGCAGUAAACAAGUUCACAGGUGUUUUCCCUCUUCCAAUUUACAACCUGUCCUCGUUAACCACGCUGUCCAUAGUCGGCAACAGUUUCUCAGGCACCCUUAGACCUGACUUUGGUUCUCUUCUCCCUAACCUUCAAAUACUAUAUAUGGAUAUAAAUAAUUUCACGGGUACCAUUCCAGAGACACUUUCCAAUAUCUCAACUCUUACACAUCUUGAUAUUUCAACUAACCAUCUUACUGGAAAUAUACCAUCGAGUUUCGGGAAACUUCGGAAUUUAUUAUGGUUAAGCCUUUUCAAAAACUCUCUGGGAAACUACUCUUCUGAUGGUCUUGAUUUUCUUGGGGCAUUGGCUAACUGCACUCAGUUGCAGCACCUAGACGUUGGCAUCAACAAUCUCGGAGGUCAGUUACCUGUCUCUAUAGCCAAUCUCUCCACUCAACUAACUGAGCUCUCCCUUGACGAAAAUCUCAUCUCUGGAAGUAUUCCUCAUGGCAUACGGAAUCUCAUAAACCUUCAAAUAUUAGACUUGAAUGGAAAUCUGUUGACAGGCAAACUUCCUCCCUCGUUGGGAGACCUUUCUGAGUUGCGAAAAAUAUAUCUCUAUUCAAAUGGAUUGUCUGGAGAGAUACCAUCUUCCUUGGGCAAUAUCACUAGGCUAAUACUCCUCUAUUUGCACAAGAACAGUUUUGAAGGAAGCAUCCCUUCAAGUCUUGGAAAUUGUAGGGACCUUCUACACCUAUACCUCCAUAAUAAUAAGUUAAAUGGCAGCAUACCCCAUGAGAUUAUGGAAAUUCCAUCUCUUGUCAUUUUAAGUGUCGCAUUUAAUUCGUUGGUUGGUCCUUUGGGAGAAGACGUUGGAAAGCUUAUAUUUCUAACUGGUCUCUACGUUGGUUACAAUAAACUAUCAGGACCGAUUCCACGGACCUUGGCGAACUGUCUCUCACUAGAAUUUCUUGGGCUGCAAGGAAAUUCAUUUGUUGGGCCCAUCCCGGAUGUAAGAGGGUUGACUGGCCUCAGGUUCCUAGAUCUGUCUAAGAACAAUCUCUCAGGUCCGAUACCGGAAUACAUGGUGAAAUUUUCCAAGCUGGAGUAUCUGAAUCUCUCUAUGAACAACUUCGAAGGAGCUGUGCCAACAGAAGGGAUAUUUCGCAAUACCAGUGCAAUGUCGAUCAUUGGUAACAUAAACCUCUGUGGAGGCAUCGCGUCAUUACGGCUUUUGCCAUGUUCAAUAGAAACAUCAAGAAAGCAUUCAUCAGUCCGAAAGAUAGUGGUUAUCUGUGUCAGUGCAGGUAUUGCAGCACUUUUGCUGUUAUUUCUGUCU